rnacentral:rRNA from 1 species
UACAGAGGGUGCGAGCGUUAAUCGGAAUUACUGGGUGUAAAGCGUGCGUAGACGGUUAUUUAAGUCGGGUGUGAAAGCCCCGGGCUCAACCUGGGAAUUGCAUUCGAGACUGAAUAGCUAGGGUACGGUAGAGGGAAGUGGAAUUCCCGGUGUAGCGGUGAAAUGCACAGAUAUCGGGAAGAACACCCGUGGCGAAGGCGGUUCUCUGGGACGGUACUGACGCUGAGACGCGAAAGCGUGGGGAGCGAACAGG